GAUGAACGCUAGCUACAGGCUUAACACAUGCAGGUCGAGGGGAAACGACAUCGAAAGCUUGCUUUGAUGGGCGUCGACCGGCGCACGGGUGAGUAACGCGUAUCCAACCUGCCCACCACUUGGGGAUAACCUUGCGAAAGUAAGACUAAUACCCAAUGACGUCUCUAGAAGACAUCUGAAAGAGAUUAAAGAUUUAUCGGUGAUGGAUGGGGAUGCGUCUGAUUAGCUUGUUGGCGGGGUAACGGCCCACCAAGGCGACGAUCAGUAGGGGUUCUGAGAGGAAGGUCCCCCACAUUGGAACUGAGACACGGUCCAAACUCCUACGGGAGGCAGAAGUUAGGAAUAUUGGUCAAUGGGCGAGAGCCUGAACCAGCCAAGUAGCGUGCAGGAUGACGGCCCUAUGGGUUGUAAACUGCUUUUAUAAGGGAAUAAAGUGAGUCUCGUGAGACUUUUUGCAUGUACCUUAUGAAUAAGGACCGGCUAAUUCCGUGCCAGCAGCCGCGGUAA
rnacentral:rRNA from 1 species